AUUUAGAAGAACGACUUGGAGGCGUCAGGCGCCUCACUCUCUUUACUCUGGUUUAAUUGAGUCACAAGGACGAGAUUUUUGCUAUCCAUCAUAAAUUUCUAGCAGGCUUCUAAUGUUUAAUGCGAUUUUCUGGGAAUGGAGCACACUUGGUUUGAUCUUGGAGAAACUAAAGAGCAAAUGUACAGAUUCAUUCCUGUGAUUUACUCCACAAACAUCCUCCCAGCAAGGAUCGUGGGAUAUUUCUGAAGAGCAAGAAGCAUUAUGACCAGAGAAUUACAUUCAUUGGAGUAUGCGAAGCUUUUGGAUUCUACAUCACACCAUCUUAUAUCCUACAUUAUUUUAACACAGUCUACUUCACCCCUUUUAAUUUCAUGUGGCAUUUCAUAAACACGUCUUUAAAUGCAAACUAUUUCAUUUAUAAGUAGAAAUGUCAGACAGAGGACUAAAUUGUUCUUUUUUCAAAGGCACUUUACAAACCGCACAAUUUGAUUUCCUAAAAUUGCUUAACCAUGUGUGCUCCACUUGGGUGGUAAGUUUUAAGACUAAAUGAGGGAGUAGGAGUUAAACUGUGUUACCUAAUCAGCUAUGCGGCUAAGAUUCAAACCAAAUGCACAUGCUGCUACACCACUUCCACAAAAGCAUUUUUUUUUUAAGAUACUUUCAUGUUAUAUAAGUACUAGAGAGUAAUCUGUGAAAAUACUCUUAAAAAUAAAGGUGAUGUCAUACCUGAUGUCAUACAGUAAACUCUCAGAAAAAAGGUAUAAAAGUUGUCACUGGGACGGUAUGUUUUAAAAAGACCAAAAUGCACCUUUUGCUGUAAGUACAAAGUGUACUUUUUGAAAAGGUACUGCCCCAGUGACAACUUUUGUACCAUCUUGUAUCUUUGUAGACAAACCAUUUUUUUGCUGGAUGGUUUCAUAAAGAACACUUCUGUUUAAACAACCAGCCACAAAUUGUUCCUCUAUGGCAUUGUGAAGCACCUUUAUUCUAAAGUGUAUGCAGCACUUUGGCAUGUAUUAAAUACUAUGGUU